CGUCGACUUUAAAAGUCGUGAGGGUUCAAGUCCCUCUAUCCCCAAAA
rnacentral:tRNA from 1 species